rnacentral:rRNA from 1 species
AAAUGAAUUGACGGGGACCCGCACAAGCGGAGGAGCAUGUGGUUUAAUUCGACGGUAACCGAGUAACCUCACCCAGGUUUGAAAUGUACCUGCAAGCCCUUGGAAACAGGGGCCGCCUUCGAGGGUGGUACACAGGUGCUGCAUGGUCGUCGUCAGCUCGUGUCGUGAGAUGUACCGUUAAGUCGGGUAACGAGCGCAACCCCUAUCCCGUGUUAAUUUUUCACGGGAGACCGCCUCGGAUAACGGGGAGGAAGGUAGGGAUGACGCCAGAUCAGCAUGGCUCUUACACCUGGGGCCACACACGUGCUACAAUGGUUGAGACAAUGGGUCGCCAAAUCGUAAGAUGGAGCUAAUCCCACCAAACUCAAUCUCAGUUCGGAUUGAGGGCUGCAACUCGCCCUCAUGAAGCUGGAUUCGCUAGUAAACGCACAUCAUCUAAGGUGCGUUGAAUACGUUCUCGGGUCUUGUACACACCGCCCGU